AUGCUGAGGUCAGUGGUCUUGAGGUCCCCCUGCAUGGAGGGGAGGCUCACAUCGGCCUCCAUCUUUGACACAGACAUGUCCACCGAGGCCUCGAUGGACUUGCCUGGGGCCGACAUCCCGAAGGAUGGCAUCUUGAACUUGGGCAUUUUGAACUUGCUGUCUUUGGUGGCCACAUCCUUUUCUUUCAGAAUUUGUUCCUUUUUCAAGGGUUUUUGGUCAUGUGUUAAUUGUAAUUUUGUUUCGUUUGUCAUUGAGUCUCUAUAUUCCUUAUCUUUUAGUCCUGCCUCAGUGCCUCCCUGUUCUCUUCUGUCGGCUGUUGCUAUGGCCUCUCCUGCCCUUUCCUGCUCUGUGUCUUGUGUGGCUUUUUCUCUCCCUGUCUUUGCCUGCUUGCUUGGCGACCAUCCUAAGGAUGGUAUCUUGAACUUGGGCAUUCUCAUCUGUCCUUCUCUGUCUUCCCCGACCUUGUCCUGUUCCUGGGUGAUCCUUGUCCUCUGUAGUCCUUCUCCAUCUCCUUCACCCUCUUGUGCUUCUGCGUAUGUGGCUGGUUCCCUGCCUGCUUCCCACCCUGCUCCUUCCACCUCCUCAACAUUCAGGCCAGUACCCACUUUUGAGGACAGGUCCUGUCUCUUCCCUCGCUGUGGGGCACUAAUGCGCCUUUCUCUUUCUGGCUCUUUUUCGGUGGAAAAUGCAAAUUUUGGUGUCUUUAAAUCGUGUACUCGCACCCUAAUUUUGGGUGGGCCGAUCUGUGUGCCUCCUUCGGUUGUGUCUCUCAAGGACAGUCUGGCGAUCCCAAUUUCCAGGCUCUGCAGUCCCUCCCCUUCACCCUCCCAGCUCAUUCCAGGAGUUGGCUGGGCCCGGGGCUUCCUCUGGGCCGCUGCUGUCUCCUGUGCCUGCCCCUCCAGGGUCUUUCUGUGGAACCUGGCUGCCCUGAGUCCCCCUUCCUCAGGGGUUCCCUCACAAGCUCUAGGGUCACCCAGCUCUGUGGGCAACUCUGUCACUUCUCGAUCCUGUUCUGCCCUCUCCUCUCUCCUGCUGCCUGUGGCAGCCCCAGUGUCCUCAAGGCUAUCAGCCCAGGGCCCCAGCUCUUCCAGGACCCCAGCACGGCCCACCCCUCUCUGGGACCCCCUGCCUGGCUCUCCUGUUGAUGAAGGGCCCUGUCCCGAGCCUGUCCUGAAUCUCAGGUUGAGGAACUUCCGCCUCCUCUGGCUGCCUGGCCCUGCCUUCUGCUCUUGGCGCUCCACUGCGAGCUGGGCCUCUGUGUCUGUGCUUGUAGGGGACACGUCAUGUGCGUCCCUGGGCUCGCAGGCCUCUGACGAGCUGUGUGACCUCUGGGGUCCCGGCCCCCGCUUGCUCUUUAUGGAUUGA
ensembl:lncRNA